GGAGAGAUGGCUCAGCAGUUAAGAGCUCUGGCUGCUCCUCCAGAGGACCUGGGUUCAAUUCCCAGCAUCCA
rnacentral:tRNA from 1 species